UGGGGAAUAUUGCACAAUGGGCGCAAGCCUGAUGCAGCAACGCCGCGUGAACGAUGAAGGUCUUCGGAUCGUAAAGUUCUGUUGCUGGGGAAGAUAAUGACGGUACCCUGUGAGGAAGCCCCGGCUAACUACGUGCCAGCAGCCGCGGUAAUACGUAGGGGGCUAGCGUUAUCCGGAUUUAUUGGGCGUAAAGCGAGCGCAGGCGGUUAGAAAAGUCUGAAGUGAAAGGCAGUGGCUCAACCAUUGUAGGCUUUGGAAACUGUUUAACUUGAGGGGAGAAGGGGAGAGUGGAAUUCCAUGUGUAGCGGUGAAAAGCGUAGAUAUAUGGAGGAACACCGGUGGCGAAAGCGGCUCUCUGGUCUGUAACUGACGCUGAGGCUCGAAAGCGUGGGGAGCGAACAGG
rnacentral:rRNA from 1 species